rnacentral:rRNA from 1 species
UACGUAGGUGGCAAGCGUUGUCCGGAUUUACUGGGCGUAAAGAGCGCGCAGGCGGUCGUUCAAGUCGCGUGUGAAAGCCCCCCGGCUCAACUGGGGAGGGUCACGCGAUACUGAUCGACUCGAAGGCAGGAGAGGGUAGUGGAAUUCCCGGUGUAGUGGUGAAAUGCGUAGAUAUCGGGAGGACACCAGUGGCGAAGGCGACUACCUGGCCUGUUCUUGACGCUGAGGCGCGAAAGCUAGGGGAGCAAACGGGG